rnacentral:lncRNA from 1 species
GCACGUUCUGUGUAUUACCUUGGUAAGGAUUUUGGAAAUUCUGAGCAUUUCCACCCAUGUUACCAGACCAUCCUUGAUUCGGUGGACCUGGUGGCAUCCCACCCAUGUUGUUAGGAGGCGGCAUUCCUCCCAUAUUGUUAGAAGGCGGCAUUCCUCCUCCCAUGUUGUUAGGAGGCGGCAUUCCUCCCAUAUUGUUAGAAGGUGGCAUUCCUCCUCCCAUGUUGUUCCGCGGUGGCAUUCCUCCCAUAUUGUUAGGAGGCGGCAUUCCUCCUCCCAUGUUGUUCCGCGGUGGCAUUCCUCCCAUAUUGUUAGGAGGCGGCAUUCCUCCCCCCAUAUUGUUGGCUGGCAUACCUCCCCUAUUGUUGUAAGGCAUUCCUCCCAUGUUGUUAGGAGGUGGAUUUCCAGCUGUAUUAGGAGCAGCAUUCUGCAUACCCUGGUUUGGAGGAGGCUGCAUGUUUUCCCUUCUUCUCUCAUAGUUUCUUGAUCUAUCAUAAUUACGAGGCCUGUCAUUACGUCUAUUUCUUUCGUUUGCUCGUGCAUUGUUCCUCACCCAUUCCUCA